rnacentral:lncRNA from 1 species
GAGUGGCGAGGUUGGGGAUGGUGUGGUCAGGAGGAUGGUGCGGGGGCAGAGGAGGGGUAGUUGGAGUCCAGCACUAAUUUUAGGAGGUUUUAGAAGGGGGGUGGAGGGACUAAAAGUUUUGAGCCUCCUAAAACAUUUUAGUCACUUUUUAGGAGAAGUAUUUGACUCUUUAGUCACAUUUUAGUCACUUUUUAGGAGUUAAAAUUUUGGAAGGGCGGAAACAAACAGUCCUUUCGUCCGAUGUCUCGCUCGUCACGAG